rnacentral:rRNA from 1 species
AAAAGUAAGUAAGGGCACAUGGCGGAUGCCUUGGCUCUCGGAGGCGAUGAAGGACGUGAUAAGCUGCGAUAAGCUGCGGGUAGGUGCAAAUGACCUUUGAUCCGCGGAUUUCCGAAUGGGACAACCCGGUACUUUGAAGAAGUAUCAUCCUGCAUUGCAGGAGGCUAACGCAGGGAACUGAAACAUCUUAGUACCUGCAGGAAAAGAAAAUAAACAAUGAUUCCCCCAGUAGUGGCGAGCGAACGGGGAACAGCCCAAACCAUCCAUGUUACGGCAUGGGUGGGGUUGUAGGACCACGCCGUGGCAAGAAAGUUGGUGAGCAGAAUGUUCUGGAAAGUACAGCCAUAGAGCAUGACAGCUGCGUAUGCGAAGCCAAGCGAAGCCUAGUGGUAUCCUGAGUAGCGCGGAGCACGAGGAAUUCUGCGUGAAUCUGCCGGGACCAUCCGGUAAGGCUAAAUACUCCCGAGAGACCGAUAGUGAACCAGUACUGUGAAGGAAAGGUGAAAAGCACUUCGAACAGAAGAGUGAAAUAGUUCCUGAAACCAUGUGCCUACAAGCGGUCGGAGCACCUUUUGGUGUGACGGCGUGCCUUUUGCAUAAUGAACCUACGAGUUACUUUUUCCGGCGAGGUUAAGGAUUUCAGAUCUGCAGCCGAAGCGAAAGCGAGUCUGAACAGGGCGUAUAGUCGGAAGGAGUAGACGCGAAACCAAGUGAUCUACCCUUGGGCAGGUUGAAGGAUGGGUAACACCAUCUGGAGGACCGAACCAAUAAGCGUUGAAAAGCUUCUGGAUGACCUGAGGGUGGGGGUGAAAGGCUAAUCAAACUUGGAGAUAGCUCGUACUCCCCGAAAUGCAUUUAGGUGCAGCCUUGACUUAUACUGGCAUGAGGUAGAGCGACUGAUAAGAUGCGAGGGCUUCACCGCCUAUCAAGUCUUGACAAACUCCGAAUGCGUGUCAGUUCUAUGUCAGGAGUGAGGGCAUGGGUGCUAAGGUCCAUGUCCUAAAGGAGAACAAUCCGGACCAACAGCUAAGGUCCCGAAAUGAAUACUAAGUUGAACUAACGAAGUCAGAUUGCUAAGACAGCUAGGAUGUUGGCUUGGAAGCAGCCAUUCAUUUAAAGAGUGCGUAACAGCUCACUAGUCGAGGAGUUUGGCGUGGAUAAUAAUCGGGCAUAAGUAUUCUACCGAAGCUUUGGGAUGAGAAAUCAUCGGUAGGGGAGCAUUCCACUCGGCGUCGAAGGUGAGGCGCGAGCUUUGCUGGAGCGUGUGGAAAAGCAAAUGUAGGUAUAAGUAACGAUAAGGCAGGCGAGAAACCUGCCCGCCGAAAGACUAAGGUUUCCUGAUCAACGCUAAUCGGAUCAGGGUAAGUCGGGUCCUAAGGCUCAGCCGAACGGCGAGGCCGAUGGCAGAACCGGUUAAUAUUCCGGUACUACCUGUGGGAGUGACGUGGAGACGGAGUCGUGACAGCGCCGCGGACUGACGGAAUAGUCCGUUGAAGGGUGUAGAUGCUGAUUGUUCCAGGCAAAUCCGGAGCAAGAGUCGAACCUGAUAGUAUGGAGCGUUCUUAGAACAAUCCAAUAGUGCGUGUAAUCAUACUUCCAAGAAAAUCCGCUAAACUUAAUCCUGCAGGUACCCGUACCGCAAACGGACACACGUAGUCGGGUUGAAUAUACUAAGGCGCUUGAGUGAUUCACGGUUAAGGAACUAGGCAAACUGACCCUGUAACUUCGGGAUAAAGGGUCCUCGCUUAACGGCGAGGCGCAGAGAAUAGGUCCAGGCAACUGUUUAACAAAAACACAGGGCUGUGCAAAAUUGAAAGAUGAAGUAUACAGCCUGACACCUGCCCGGUGCUGGAAGGUUAAGAGGAGAUGUCAUCGCAAGAGAAGCAUUGAAUUGAAGCCCCAGUAAACGGCGGCCGUAACUAUAACGGUCCUAAGGUAGCGAAAUUCCUUGUCGGGUAAGUUC